rnacentral:lncRNA from 1 species
AAAUCAUAAGCUGGACUUUGAAGAAUACACAGGAUAAUAGUAGACGAAGAAGCAGGAGAGAGAAUAUUCCAAGCUGGAGGACCAAAUGAGGAAAGAGGUGGCCGUGGGACUCUCCCACUCCAUAAGGUCCUGAGAGGACACGUAGAUGCCGACUAGCUGUAUGGAGCGUGCUGUUCUAGGCAUCCACGUGUCUGUUAUAAACCAGACAAGAUUGAUGAUCCGAGUUCCACACAGUGUCGGCUGAAGGGAGAAGCAAUUAAAAGAGAACACAGUGGGGCACCAGGUUCAUCUCGAGAGCUCUUGUCUCUGGCAGUUGCCCUGAGUCCAAGGAAGACCUCAGAAGGUUCACUAGGCCCAGCAGGAUCCACCACUUACCAAACCCAUGAUUAAUAGGAACAGAGCUCCGGUCAUCUCUAUAUCCAGCUGAGUGAUGUACAUUUUCAUGUGGCACCCAAAUCAUCCUGCAAAAAGGACCCUGAGCCCUCAGGAACCGCAGGGAGCCUGCAGAGCUCCCAGGGUCCUCAGGGCCUUCCCACAGGGGCUCAGCA